rnacentral:rRNA from 1 species
AUUGAACGCUGGCGGCAGGCCUAACACAUGCAAGUCGAACGAGUGGCGGACGGGUGAGUAAUGUCUGGGAAACUGCCUGAUGGAGGGGGAUAACUACUGGAAACGGUAGCUAAUACCGCAUACCAUCCGAGGUGCCCAUGUGGGAUUAGCUUGUUGGCGGGGUAACGGCUCACCAAGGCGACGAUCCCUAGCUGGUCUGAGAGGAUGACCAGCCACACUGGGACUGAGACACGGUCCAGACUCCUACGGGAGGCAGCAGUGGGGAAUUUUGGACAAUGGGCGCAAGCCUGAUGCAGCCAUGCCGCGUGUAUGAAGAAGGCCUUCGGGUUGUAAAGUACUUUCGGCGGGGAGGCGUUACCUGAAGAAGAAGCACCGGCUAACUCCGUGCCAGCAGCCGCGGUAAUUC